GGAUAAACAUUUUACAUGCCUGGGGAAAUCAAGGCCGUUAAAGGAGGACACAAAGCCAAAAUGCUGUGACUCAAGUUCUUCAGCAGCAUUUAUUGAGUUGAGACAUCUCAGUAAAGAGUCCAACAAGUGCCAGAGUCUGUCAGAAGCAAAUCAUAGCAGUGUCUGACGUCGGGGAAGAAAGAGUGGGACAGCAGCCUGCAGUUAUAUGUGCUUUAAGUUUCAUGGAUAUGUGGAAGGGACCUAUUUCACAAGAAACUCCUAAAAGAUGUAUUCUUCCAAAGAGAGCAGUACAGUUGACAGCUGUCCGAUUUGGGGAAACUAGGUUUUUAAGUCUGUAAUACUGAGAAGUGCCAAACUGGCAAUUCACAUAAGCACAUAAACCAAUCUUUAAAAAAAAAAAAAGUUGUUUGUUUUUUUCAAUAGAUCUUUGCCCUUCUGUCCUUUCUUUAUCCCCCAACACUUCACUUAGAGCACUUGCUUAAGAUGUGGCAAGGUAUAUGGAAGCCUUUCGCCCUCAGCUCCCAUCCCUCUUUCCCAAAGGGGUAUAAAUCAAGUACUAAGAAAAUUGAAGCCAUCUGCUUGAAGAAAAGGGUAUCUUUCCAUUUCCACAUUGAAGCUGUUUCACACUUCUUGGACUAUUUAAAUGGUCACUUGAGAAGGGAAGGAACCCGUAUUCCAGAUUCAGCUGUGAGAGAAAUAAGCUUGGCUUUCAGUAGCUGUUUCACCAAGAGAAGUCAAAAGAAGCUCAGAUCACGUCAGUGA
rnacentral:lncRNA from 1 species